UAGGGAAUCUUCCGCAAUGGACGCAAGUCUGACGGAGCAACGCCGCGUGAGUGAAGAAGGAUUUCGGUUCGUAAAACUCUGUUGUUAGAGAAGAACAGCGCAUAGAGUAACUGUUAUGCGUGUGACGGUAUCUAACCAGAAAGCCACGGCUAACUACGUGCCAGCAGCCGCGGUAAUACGUAGGUGGCAAGCGUUGUCCGGAUUUAUUGGGCGUAAAGCGAGCGCAGGCGGUCAAUUAAGUCUGGUGUGAAAGCCCCCGGCUCAACCGGGGAGGGUUCUUGGAAACUGGUUGACUUGAGUGCGGAAGAGGAGAGUGGAAUUCCGUGUGUAGCGGUGAAAUGCGGAGAUAUAUGGAGGAACACCAGUGGCGAAGGCGACUCUCGGGUCUGUAACUGACGCCGAGGCUCGAAAGCGUGGGUAGCAAACAGG
rnacentral:rRNA from 1 species